rnacentral:rRNA from 1 species
UGCGUAGGCGGCUGAUUAAGUCAGCGGUGAAAGGUAGCAGCUUAACUGUUUUACAUGCCGUUGAUACUGGUUAGCUUGAGUUAACAGAAGGCAGAUAGAAUUUCUGGUGUAGCGGUGAAAUGCUUAGAUACCAGAAGGAAUACCGAUUGCGAAGGCAGUCUGCUGCAGUUACACUGACGCUGAGGCACGAAAGUGCGGGGAUCAAACAGGAUUAGAUACCCCUGUA